UGUGACUUGAAGGAAGCUUCAGAUUCAUUCAGCUCUGCCGUUAGGUGGCAGCAGUACAACAUGAAAAACAUUUAAGGCACUAAUGGAGUAAAAAUGGUGACGAUGAUCGUAUCAUGAUGGUGACGAUGGUGAUGAUGAGAAGACAAAUCUGGAUGGUGGUCUGACUGCUUACUGGUGCAGCAGGGAUUGCAGAGAGUGGUGAAAUGUGUUUCUGAUUCACAGCUGAUGGUUUAUAGGACCAUAGUGAUUCUUGACAGUGGUGGCACACAAUGCUCUGGGCAGGAGACUCUGUUUCCACCAACCUAGGCCAUGCACAAAUCUCAUGCCUCAAACGUCUCCAGAGGUCAAAAAUCAGAUACUAGAGUCAGUGAACCAGUGUAUCAUCUUGCUUUUCUCCUAAAAGAGAGAAUUCUACCAACUUCCUUAAGAAGUAAAAGCAACAAUAUAAAAAUAUUAUGGCGUGCUUCAAAGUUUGACUGAAGAGUCUCAUGAGGCCAACACAG
rnacentral:lncRNA from 1 species